UACGUAGGUGGCAAGCGUUGUCCGGAUUUAUUGGGUUUAAAGGGUGCGUAGGCGGUUCUAUAAGUCAGUGGUGAAAUCCGGCAGCUCAACUGUCGAUGUGCCAUUGAUACUGCAGAACUUGAGUAUAGACGAGGUAGGCGGAAUUGACGGUGUAGCGGUGAAAUGCUUAGAUAUCGUCAAGAACACCGAUAGCGAAGGCAGCUUACUAGACUGUAACUGACGCUGAUGCACGAAAGUGUGGGGAUCAAACAGG
rnacentral:rRNA from 1 species